UCUUUUCCUUUUCUAUCAUAUUAGCCAUUUUGAUAUGUGUGAGAUGGUAUGUGAUUUAUACUUGCAUUUCUCUAAUUAACAGCGAUUUAGAUGAUUUUUUUAUUAUUGAGAGAUUUGAUUUUUUUUCUUCCAAAAACUUCUUGACAAAAACCUCUGACAAUUUUUCAAUUGGGGAAUGACUCCCAUUCUUAUAAACAUGAUUCAGUUUCUUAUAUCUUUGAGAAAUGAGACUUUUAUUGGAGAAAUUAUCUGUAAAAUUUUCCCCAGUUUCCUGCUUUCCUUUAAAAAAAUUAAAAACCCUUACCUUUCAUCUUUGACUCAACACUAAGUAUUGAUUUCAAGGCAGAAGAGCAGUAAGGGCUAGGCAAUAAGAGCAAAGUGACUUGCCCAGGGUUAUACAUCUAGAAAGUAUCUGAGACCAGAAUAGAACCCAGGACUUCCUAUCUCUUGGCCUGGCUAUCAAUCCACAGAAUCACCUUUCUAAUUUCCUUUUAAUCAAGGAUACUUUAAUUUUGUUUGUACAAAAUCUUUUUAAUUUAAUGUAAUCAACAUUAUCCAAUGAACUUCUUGUGAUCCUUUCUAUCUUGUUUGGUCAUAAAGUUUUCUUCCUUUAUUCAUUUAUCUGACAAAAUUUUCCAUUCUCUCAUAAUUUCCUUACAACAUUACCCUUUAUAUUUAAAUCAUGUAUCUAUUUUGACUUUAUGUUGGUAUAUAGUGUGAGAUGACCAACAAUUUCUCAUUAAGAGCCAUUCUAUAAUUUCUUCAAGAAUUGAAGUCUAGGACGCUAGGCCAAAAUUUAAAUACUCUUUUUUGACAAUUAGAACAUUUGUCCUUCUCUAGUCUUGCAGUACUACUCUUGUUAUCCAGUCUUUCAAAUAUCAAGAACAGUGGCUGUGCCAUCACAUCUGCUAGUUCUUUCAGGAUCAAAUGAUUUGAUUCAUCUUGACCAGGUGAUUUUAAUUCAACAAAGGUCUCUCAUUGCUUUCUUAGUCUCUAUUUUUCUGAGGUAUCUUUUCCCUGUUAACAAUUUUUGUUAUGUCAUUUCCAGAGUAAACAUCAUUUCCCUUGGCAGAUAAAAUAAGCAAAAUGAGAAUUGAGUGGUCCUCUUUUCUCUUUGUUGUCAGUUAUUACUGUCCCAUCCACCCUAGGAAGUAGUCUUAUUGCUUCUUUGAACAUUCUAUUUUCCCCAAUAUAGUUACAAAGCCCUACUUUUUUAUUUGUCUUUAGUUGUUUUGUGUGUGUGUGUGUGUGUGUCAGUGUCAUCUCAAGUUCUGAACUUUAGCUUGUUGUUGUUCAGUCAUGUCUGACUCAUGACCCCAUUUGGGGUUUUCUUGGCAAAGAUACUGGCAUGGUUUGCUAUUUCCUUCUCCAGCUCAUUUUCCAGAUGAGGAAUCUGAAGCAAACGGGUUUAAGUGACUUGCCCAGGGUCAUAUAGCUGGAAAAUUUUUGAGGCUGGAUUUGACUGGGAUUUUCUUGAUGCCAGGCCCCAUUCACCAUAUAGCUGCCCCAAACUUUAGCAUUCACAUGUGAUAUUUAUGGUAUUGAUCUAGGAUAUAUUACUCUUUUGUUAUUCUUUGCUUCUAUCUUCUGUACAUUUCUUUUUAAGAUUUAAGUUGGUUGAUGAGUUGGUGAACACUUACAUUGGUCUCUUUAGACAAUUCCCAUUUUUCCUUCUCAUUGGAAUUGUUUUCCUCCAUGUCCUAAGAAUUUCAUUCUUGAGAAUUUCCCAUCAAUCCUAAGCUGACUGACCAUAUAGAAUUUUGAUCCAUGGAAUCUUAGCCAUCAUUCCUGUAUAGCCUUUUAAAGUCUUUUUUCCUGAAAUCUAAGGUUCAUAUAAGACUAUUGCCAGCUUUCCUCUCUUCUGUUAUAGCUUGGAGAGAGUGGUCACUUCUGCCUACAGUUCUUAUCACUCCCAUCUCCAUAACCAAUAACUCACAAGAAGAAUGGGAUCCAAAAUAGAAAUCCUUCUCAUUAGCCUUUUUAUAUUUUGAAGGAUAGCAUUAUUAUUUAGGGGAAUCAAGAAUGUAAUAGCUACUUUAUCUUUGGAGAAGAGCUACAAUAAUUGUCUGGAUAAUUUAAAUCUCUCAUCAGUACUAUAGCAUUUUUCUAUGCUGCUCAUGAUACUUACCCAGACUCCUCAUCUAUUUCCUUUUUCCCUUCAAGUAGCAUACAUUAUACUCUGAUGACAAAAUAUUUUCUAUUUGUCCCUUCAUUGAUCUUGACCUUCCACCAUUUCUUCCAAACUGUUUCUGAAUUUCUUCACAUAUGUGUAACUUCUUAAUAUAUAGUAAAGCUCAACUUGAUUCUUUUAACCUUUUCUAUUUCUUUGAAAUAGGCUAUACCCAUCCAGAUUCACAUUCCAGAUAUGAAUUCUAUCCCAAGGAAGAAGAGGGUAGAUGAAGUACUCAUAUUCAAAUAUUUUAAGGACAUUUGUGUAAUAGAUAUUAGGCUUGUACUUCCUCACCCCCCAGAAGUGGAAGAAGGCAAUGUACAUAAUGUAUAUGAAGAGACAUUUUUCAGAUCCCUAUGAGAAAAAAAAAUCCUGACAAUAAAAUAUUUGAUAUUUAUUUUUGUCAAGAAAAUAUCCCUAAAAGAUCCCUAUGAGGAAAAAAAUCCUGACAAAAAAAUCCAAAAGUAGCUAAAAGUGAGAGACAGUGUGGUGUAGUAGAACAAGGUCUGACCUCACAGUCAGGAACAUAUACUGGCUGAAUCAUCACAGGCAAGUCACCAGUCUUCCUUGGUAGAGGCAGAAUCCUCUUCUUGGAAUUUCUUAGAUCCCCUACAGGUUCACUCACUAUUCCUAUCCCCAAAAUAGAAUGGGUUGUCUUAGAAGGGAAUGGAUUCCCCUCUGGAGUUUUGAAAACAGAAGCUAGAGAACUAGUCAUUUAUACUGUAGAUGUGAUCCUUGCUCAGAGGGAUGUUGGACUAGAUUAAUUUAAAGGUUUUUUCCAACUCUGAGAUCCUGAUUCUAGGAGUCAUUCCAACCAUGACAAUUAUGAAAAAUAACCAUGUUCUUCCAUUAAUUGUUCCUCACUUAUAAUCAAAUGUAGGUAUAAAAACAGUAUCAGUUAGGUUAGACAAGGGUUUUCAGACCUUUGUGAAAAUCCUCAAAACCCAACAGGCAGGUUCCCAUGGUGCUAUACAAUUUCUGGAGUAAAAGUAAGGGUUUUUCUCCCCUUCUAUAGAAAAAUCUGGGGACCCAUUGUUUAUCAAAGUAUAUGCAGUGUAAAAAUGGAGAUUUGAACCCCAGACUUCAAUCCCCAGAAGUCCUUGCUAGCUCCCAGAAUUCUCUCUAAUCUCCCAGAGUGCAAGAUCACAAAUUAUUACUUAAAGGGGCUCUCUGCCUACUUGAGCUCUAUCUUGACUUCCGCUUCUAGGGACAGGCGGCUCUCUACCUAGCUGGCAAAAUGUAGGCUGCACAUGCUUUCUUAUUUUGUAUUUUCUUUAUUUCUUAAUCUUUAAUAAACCUCAUAAAAUAUAAUACCUUUAGCAGAUAAACUAAAUUUUAAUCAUAAUAGAGUGAAUACAGGAGUCCUUUCAUCCUAAACCAGGUUCCUGGGAUUUUUAUCCAGUUGUUUUGGACGUGUCCAAUUCUUCAUGAGCCCAUUUGUUUUUUUCUUGACAAAGAUACUGGCAUUUCCUUCUCCAGCUCAUUUUAUAGAUGAGGAAACUGAGGCAAAACAGGGUUAAGUGACUUGCCCAGGGUCACAUAGCUAGUAAGUAUUUGAGGCCAGAAUUGGAUUCAGGAAGAUGAGUCUUCCUGACUCCAGGACUGGUGCUUUAUCCAGUGUGCUACCUAGCUGCGCCGAGCUAUUAGGAUACCAAAAGUAAUUCAUUUAAUUUGAGAAGAAAAGACACAUACACAGGUAUAUAUUACUUUAAGGUUUGCAAAAGCUCUGUGUGAACUUUAUUUUAUUUUAUUUUUAGAAGAAUCCAUUAAGAUAAGUACUACAAACUUUCUUGUUCCCAUUGAAAGGAUGAGGAAUUUAACACUGAGAGUGACUUCUUUGUGGUGAUACAGCUAGUAUCAGAAGUAGGAUCUGAAGGCAGGUUCAACUUUUAUUCCACUAAAAUAUGCUUUUUUUCUACCACAAAAUGGGUUGGUCUCCUCUUGUGUGAACACUUUAAGUAGUGCCCAUUACCAUUGUGGUCUUGUUUCUGCAUUUAUAAAAUGAAGAUAACAAAUUGUAAUCCUUCAAUAUGACUCAUUAUGUACUAAUAAUUUCUGCAUUAGCUAAAGUGAGGUGGUGGGGUGCAGUGGGGAAAAAAACAACCCUUUGGAUUUGGACUCAGCAGGCAUUGGUUUGAAUAUUUCCUUUAUUGGUUACUACCCAGGACAAUCAUUUUACUACUCUGUAACUGGCAUAAUUCUUGGCACUUAAAUUAAACUUAAAUGCUCAGAGAUUGAUUAAUGUAUACAUAUUAACUUUUUAGACCCCCAGACAAUUCCUCUAAAAUGGCUAGUUAGUAUACCUAUUUUACAGCUGAGGAAACUUAAGACCAUGAGGUCUUGUCUUGCCCAUGGUCAUGAAGCUAGCAAGUGUCAGUUAUCUCUUCUACCCUUUGUCUAGUAUUCUUUCCACUUCUCCAAGUUACCAUAUGGAAAUUUAGAAAGGUCAGGAAAUGAGAUCUAAUAAAGGUACAUCUUCACACAAAGAACCAUUUCAAGUAGAGAUGAGCCAAGAAGGUCUGUCAUUCCCUAGUCAUGGUUAUUCAGGCAAGUAAGUCAACUCUCAUUUUUGUGAACCUCAGUUUCCUCAUCUAUAAAAUGGGGAAAAUAACACUUGCACUCUUUACCUCCCAGGAUUUCUGGGGAUAUCAGAUGAGUUAAGAGAGAUGUGAUGCCUUCCAAACCUAUGCAGUCCUCUGCAGAUGUUAUUUAUUUGUUGUUGUUGUUUUUUUGCCCAUCUAGAAAGGACCUUUUGGCAGAGUUCUCCUUCAGUGGAAUAAUUAAACAGGCAGGGCUGUUUGUUGGAUAGCACCUCCUCCCCCUCCCCUUCUGCCCCUAGUCGCUUUCAUGUCAGCUCCUUAGCUGUGCGUAACUGUGCAGCCAGCCAAAAAUAUCGAUUUAGCGCAGGGGCUUUGCUGCCGGAGAAAGCAACUGCCUGACGUAGCAGCUGGAUUUGACAAGGCCAUGGCUCAUAAACACUUGAACCGAUGCCUGUGUGGGACUGAGAAUUUUUAAUCCGACCAGAGACUGUGAUGUUCCAUGCUUUGCACCUACAGAGCAUCACUGGGAGGACAGGCAUUUAAAAGAUGAGGGAACAGAGGCUCAAUGACAUGCACACAACUGGUAAGUUCUGGGGUCAGGAUAUAUAGCUAAAUCAUAUUCCUUUAGGUCGAAUGCUAUGGGCAAUGAAUGCUUUCUUUAACUUGAAAAGGAUGGGGGUGGUGGGUGAGCAUGCACUGAGUAGACAGGGAGGACUCCAUGUAAAAGGUGGAAUUGUGAUGAAGUAUUGAAGACUGUAUUAUAAUAAUUAAUAAUGAUUUUACAUUUUUCAAUAUUCUUUUUAUUUAUUCUCUCACUUGAGAGGAAAUGGCUUUUUCUGCUACUAACUCUAUCUUUCUCUAGCCCAGUGAUUGAUAAGAUCACAUACUCAAAGGCCUAGAGCUGGAAUGGGCCUCAGGGGUCAUCUAGCCUUCAUUUUACAAAUGAGGAAACAAAGGCUCAGGGAAUCUAAGGUCAUACAGGUGGUGAGUGUCAGAGGUGAGACGUGAACCAAAAGUCCUCUGAUUCCAGAGGCAAUGCUUUUUCUACUCUAUCACAGAGAUCCAAUAUCUUGCUGCUUCUAUUUUUUUCAUACUUUAUAUCUUCUUAGGAUUCUAUGGGCUAUGACUUUUUUUCCCCUUUCAUUCCUCUCUCCUUCACAAGACUUUUUUUCCCCUUUGGGAAGACUUUCCCUCUCAACCUUACCUGGGAAUUAAAAAAUAACAAUAAUGCUGAGAAUGGAUCACUCAGAAUGGGGAGGACACUGAAUCACAGAAUGUCCAUGCUGGAAGAAGCAAUUGCUGAGGUCCUAUAUGGUGAAACUGAAGGCCAGUAAGGUGGCUUAGUGAAUGUCACAUAGAGCUAUCAGUGGUCAGGAUAGAACCUACAUAUCCUGACUCUUUUGGACCUUUUUUUUUCCUUCCCAAAACACUCUGCUGAUUUCUGACAUUCAAUUCAAUCAGUUAAAAAUAUAUUUAUUGAGUCCCUACUAUGUGCCAGGUGCUAGGAAUUGGCUCAUAGAUUGACAUAUAAUUGGAAAGAACUUUAGAGGCUGUCUAAUCCAAACCUCUCAUUUUACAGAUGAGAAAUCUGUGACCUAAAAAGGUUAAAUGACUUGUCCAAGGUGACACAGGCAGUAAGUGGCAGAGGCAAGAUUCAAAUCCACUGAACCAAGAUGAUGGAAGACAAAAGCGAAACAGUCCCUGCCCUCGAGGAGCUUACAUUCUACUGGGGGAGUUCUUGGAACCUAUUUUAGAUUAUAAGCUCCUGGAGGGAAGAGGCCACGUCUACAUAUCUUGCUCUUCUAGCACACCUAUGUAAUGUUAAUUCAGCGACACUUCGUUUGUGCGUCAUCUUCAAGAAAAGAACUGCUACUUCGUAAUCUGAGUCUUCCGUAUAAGUGAAGCGGACAACUUAAUGCCAAAACUUCUCUUUAAUUGUGGAGAAUGGAAGUCUUUCCCAAGUAGAUGAGGCAUUUGAAUUAAACAUAAUUGAAGUUUUCCUUGAGUUUUAAGGGUCAUGCUUAUGGACAUCUACUGUUGCAUUGUACCUUAAAACAAAGAUGAGCAUUCUCUUGAAUUUUUGCUAUGUAUUGAGUUGUUUGCCCUAACAUUGAAUGACCUCAGGCUACUGUGGUUUGUGAGUUUUUCCUAGCCUUUUAUGAUUGUCCUAUUUCCUCCUUCACAGUGAAUAUGUCACCUGUCCCUUCUUGUUAUUAUCAAUGUACCAAAUUCUAGUAUCAUCCCAACAGGUGCUGAUUGGUUCUCAAUUACUAUUGACUGGAAGACCAGAUCAUUGUGUCAGAUCAAUUGUGUCUAAAAAAAAAAAAGUUUAGUAGGGUAUGAGUGAAUUCCAAGGAUGGUUUUCUUCAAUGAUUACUAGCAUGGACUUUGAUAUAUCUGAUUUGACUGCUCAAAAGAUUUUGAUUUUGUUUUUCUUUGCUUCCAUUCUAGCCCUUUGAUAUGUUCUAAAUAGUUGAGGUUGCUGAGAAAGUAACCUCUGGAUCUGUGAGGAGAUACUAUGUAAAUAAAAUCAUGCUAUUCUUGGUAUAUGGAAAUAAUGGUACAGAAAUAUCUGGAACACUGAAGUUAGAGGAGAUUUAAUAUUUACUUAUGACACUGGACAUAAUUAUUGAGCCUCAAUUUCCUCAUUUGUAAAGUGGAUAUGAUAAUAUUUGCACAACUCACCUCUCAGGCUUAUUGUAAGGCAAAUACUUUUAUGUAAAAACAAAAAAAUGAUGUAUUAUAUAAAAGUUUGAGUUAUUGUUAUAUGCUUUUAGUUGCUUUUUCUUCUUCCAUCUCUUUUCAUUUCUCAGAAUUCCCUUGUGGAUAUAUUUUUCAGAUGGAUAGCAAUGAUUAUAAAGAUAUAGUUUGUGGCCAUGGAUCAGAGAAAAAUGAACUGGCAUUUUGGAAUGCCCAAUUCAGUUCCCUGGCUUCAGUACAGAGCUCUUAUGGAUUAAGUAAUCGUGUCCAAACUUGAGUGGCUUGAUUCAUAUGUAUCAACCAACUGGUCCAUUACUUAGCCCUCUGUGAUAUAAUACCAGAGCUAACAAAGUGCCAAGCACACAGAAUUCACAUUGUUUUCAUUCACAAAAGUGGUUCUGAAACUGAGCAAGCAGAUACAGUCUAAAGAAGACUUUUGACCGAUGACUUUGGAGCAUAAUCAAAUUAGACCCACACCAAAAUAAUACUGAAUUCUUGAGCUCCCUUCCUGGACCAGUUCUGAUUUUCCUUAUGGUCACCAUUUUGGUUUCUAUUCAGACCCACUUUGAUUUUGUCUAAGAUUUGAGUGUGGGUAGCAACAUAAUAUUAAGCAAAGAGCAAUGGAUUUGGAGUCAGAGGACUUGGUUUUUGAUUCCUGGCUCUGCUACUUAAAAGAUGUUUGGCAACUUAUUAAUAAAGAUCUCUCUUUAUCAAUCUUCCUAGAA